UACGUAGGGGGCUAGCGUUGUCCGGAAUCAUUGGGCGUAAAGCGCGUGUAGGCGGCCCGGUAAGUCCGCUGUGAAAGUCGGGGGCUCAACCCUCGGAAGCCGGUGGAUACUGUCGGGCUCGAGUACGGAAGAGGCGAGUGGAAUUCCUGGUGUAGCGGUGAAAUGCGUAGAUAUCGAGAGGAACACCUGCGGCGAAGGCGGGUUGCUGGGCUGACACUGACGCUGAGGCGCGAAAGCUAGGGGAGCGAACGGG
rnacentral:rRNA from 1 species